rnacentral:snoRNA from 1 species
AUCAAUAAAUAAUCGUGCGGAUUAUACAAUCCAGGACUAUAAAACCGUGUUGCUUCCUAUUACGUUUUAACCGUAUUGUCAUACCAGAAGCGUCAAGUCCAUCGGAGAGAUCAUACUCGAGUUCGUCUUAAUGCCCUUUUGUGUUGAACAUUUGUGCUUCCCUUAACGUAUUCUUUAUUGAAUACGC